rnacentral:RNase_P_RNA from 1 species
GGUACAAGCCAUCUUAUCGCGCCCGGCCAGUCCCCUGGAUUGGGUCGGGUGAGGAAAGUCCGGACAGCGUAGAGCACCAUACUUCCUAACGGGAAGGCGGAUUCCUGGCGACGGGGAUUCGACAGCCAGUGUCACAGAAAAUAUACCGCCGGUUAUCAAUGAGUGAAUGAUUGAUUCGAUGAAUGAUUGAAUUAGCUCGUGCUUUUAAUGAGUGCAUUCAAUUAGUCAGUCAUUCAAUCAUUCAUUGAUCCGGUAAGGGUGAAAUGGUGGGGUAAGAGCCCACCGCCCGGCGGGCGACCGGCGGGGCAGGACAAACCUUAUGGGCUGAAAGACCAAAUAGGCGUCGGAUGCGAGGCUGCUCGUCUCCGUUCCGGUUUAACCGGAUGCCGACGCGGGUAGGUCGAACGAGGUGAUCGGUGACGAUCAUCCCAGAUAAAUGAUAAGACGCCGGACAGCCAGCUGCCCGGUGACAGAAUCCGGCUUACAGGCUUGUACCGUCG